UGGUAAGCAACUACACAUGACAAUCAGGCACAGGACAGAGGGAGACACCGACCAUAAAUACAUAUGAGGAGGGACAGCACAGGUGGGAACGAUCAGGGAUGAUUAGGUAGACAGCUGUGGGGAAAACAGACAUGGACAGGAAAGGUGGAAGGAACUUUCAAAAGAAAACAGGAAGCGACACACGAGGACACAAAUGUCAGACAGGAACUUGACGAAACAUGACAAGAAAUGCUUCAAUAUAGAACACUCUUUUUGUGUAUAAGUUAUUCAUAUACACUGUAAACGUAAACAAAUUAAAGUAUACAGAUGUACUUAGCACACAUUUAUUUUGACCCUCAGUAACCUUUUCUGGUAUUUUUACAACUUCAACUUCUGGUGUUUUAAUCAUCCACUCCAGUAAGCAUUCACUUAUUUGUAAAUGUGAGAGACGGGUGAACCACUGAGGUUAACACCCUUAACUUCCACAAAUUCUGUCAUUUUUAAUUUUAAAACAGUGAGAUGAGUCAUUUUUCUGGAGAAAACUGAAGAGGAUUUUAUCUUGGUCCAGCUAUUUUUGUUCUGUCAGGAAAUGAUGUGGUAUCUGAGAUGAAAGGAGGCUUUGCAAAUAAACUAUAACAUUUAGACUUUUACCCAAAACAAGGCUAGUUAGUUUCAUGAACAGGUUUACUUGUGAACAUCACAACACAUGAAUAUCUUUUUUCAUAUGUUCAUUAACACAAUGAAUAAGGAAAACAACCUAACAUAUUUUAUUUUGCUGGUGCGGUUACACGGAACUCACAAAAAUGAGACAGGAACAAAGGAAAUAUUUUUUGGUUUUUAAGUCAGAAACAGGAAGCUGCAAAGUCACACCUGCUGUCUUGACGAGUGACCACUGAUCAGAACAAGACUAACACACUGAAUCUUAAUAUUUGCCAAAGGUCGGAUCGCAGGACUGCUAAGGAUCUGGUCCAUCAUUUGUUUAGUGUUGGGCGUCAUGGAGCAACUCAACUUGACUGCAGUAACUUCAAACAUCUCCUCCUCUUCUGAACUUCUCCCUUCUCCUUCCAUGGACUCCAGAGGUGUGCGGGGUGCAGUGAUUCUGUCUCUCUUCUUUCUCCUGGGAGUCCCUGGAAACAUUGCUGUCAUCAUUCUGAGGCCAAAUUUUCAGCAGCUGUCCAGCAUGACCCAGAGUUUGAUGCUGAAUCUGGCCGUGUCAGACCUGCUCUGUCUGCUGACUCUCCCACUGUGGAUUUACAGUCUGCUCUACAGCUGGAUCUUUGGUCUGCUGGCCUGUAAAAUCCUAGCAUAUCUCUUAAGUUGCAGUCUUUUUGGAAGUGUGCUGAUUACAGUUUUGUUGAGCUUUCAGCGUUACAUGCUCGUAGUGCACCAGCAGUUUUACAAUCAGAAAAAAAUAAGAUUGCUGUUUGUUUUGUUUUGGCUGGUAGUAAUGAUUCUCUCCAUCCCUGCUUUGGUGGUUCAUCAGUUGACCCCUGAUCAGGAGUGGGUACGCUGCAGACAACACUUCUCCUCCAGAACCCAGAAGUUAGCUGUGCUGCUGACAGAGACUCUGGUAGGAUUUGCUUCAUGUUUUAUUGUAGCAUUUUCAUACAUUCAGCUUUACAGGAAGGUGAAUCGAGCAGCAUUUUUUAACAACCCUCAGACAUCCAGACUGGUUACCAGUAUCAUUAUAGUGUUUUUUGUUCUGUGGAUUCCAUACCACGCUGUAAAUGUAAUGAGAGUUGGAGCUACUGCUUUACACGAUGAGAGACUUGAAAAACGUCUCACAAAGUUGCGGGACUUUGCUGUAGGACUGACAUUUAUAAACAGCUGUCUGAAUCCACUCCUGUAUGGAUUCACUUCUCACAUUUGUAAAUGUCUGAACCAAUGAGGUGGAUGUUUCUAACUUCCACUAACUUUGUCACUGCUGAUUUGAAAACGGUGAGAAGUACUUUGUCUGGAUGCAACUGAAGAGGAUUUUUUCCAUCAGGUUAUAUUCACUUUGUCCCAGAAAGCUGGAUACGAUGUUGUAACUGAGCUUAUUCAUCUAAACCGUGUCAUUCAACCAAAGUUCUAGUAGUUGGUUUAACUGUUUUUUGUUUUGUUUUAUUUAAAUAGUACUACUUGCAAACAUCAUUUGCAUUUAGCCUGCAACAAAAGAUUAAUGAGGUACAAAGGUAAAGGAAAUAAUCCUAACAUAUUUUACAUUCAUGGCAUUAUUAGAUUUGACACACAAAUAUGAUUCAAGAAUAAAGAAAAUGUUAUUCCUAGAAUUAAGUAUUGAGCAGAAUGUUCCACAGUCAGACUUUCUCACAUGAACAGUCACUGAGAGUUGGAAACGUUUUUUAAUAUAAUUUUUUAGUCACAUUGUGUAAA